GAUGAACGCUGGCGGCGUGCUUAACACAUGCAAGUCGAACGGGAAACAUUUUAUUGAAGCUUCGGCAGAUUUAGCUUGUUUCUAGUGGCGGACGGGUGAGUAACGCGUGGGUAACCUGCCUUAUACUGGGGGAUAACAGCCAGAAAUGACUGCUAAUACCGCAUAAGCGCACAGGACCGCAUGGUUCGGUGUGAAAAACUCCGGUGGUAUAAGAUGGACCCGCGUUGGAUUAGCUAGUUGGCAGGGCAGCGGCCUACCAAGGCGACGAUCCAUAGCCGGCCUGAGAGGGUGAACGGCCACAUUGGGACUGAGACACGGCCCAGACUCCUACGGGAGGCAGCAGUGGGGAAUAUUGCACAAUGGGGGAAACCCUGAUGCAGCGACGCCGCGUGAAGGAAGAAGUAUCUCGGUAUGUAAACUUCUAUCAGCAGGGAAGAUAAUGACGGU
rnacentral:rRNA from 1 species